GACGAACGCUGGCGGCGUGCUUAACACAUGCAAGUCGAGCGGUAAGGCCCUUUCAGGGGUACACGAGCGGCGAACGGGUGAGUAACACGUGGGUGACCUGCCCUUAGCUCUGGGAUAAGCCUGGGAAACUGGGUCUAAUACCGGAUAUGACUCCAUGACGCAUGUUGUGGGGUGGAAAGCCUUGUGCGGCUAGGGAUGGGCCUGCGGCCUAUCAGCUUGUUGGUGGGGUGAUGGCCUACCAAGGCGACGACGGGUAGCCGGCCUGAGAGGGCGACCGGCCACACUGGGACUGAGACACGGCCCAGACUCCUACGGGAGGCAGCAGUGGGGAAUCUUGCGCAAUGGGCGAAAGCCUGACGCAGCGACGCCGC
rnacentral:rRNA from 1 species